UAAGUGGAUUGUAAAUUGUAUUUUAUUUUCUGGGGUGAAAUUUUGGGGAGGUUAGCCGUGUCACAUCCCUUGUGCGUUUUAGAAACUCUAGUUCUUACACAUUGAGGACAAUGUUUACCUCAAGUAAAAUUUUCAAAAAUUUUUCAAAAUGUCUUUGUUUGAAGCGAUCUAAAAAGCACAAGUAACUAAGUUAACGAGGGAUGACACAAUCCAUUUGGUAUUUUGUCAUGGUCAAGUUCAAGUUAAUUAGCAUGACAGGUAUUUAGCGGGUGGUUAUUUGGGAAUAAUCCGCCUAAGAAACUAACAUAUCAUGCAUGUCACAUACCAUACCCUUUGCACGUGAGGUUUUGAGCCACUUUCACAUCAUAGAUUUACAUAUACAUGUUUCUUUGUUU
rnacentral:lncRNA from 1 species